rnacentral:lncRNA from 1 species
AGUGUGUGGAACCUGUAGGGUCUCCUGUCCAGUGUGCAGUGUCCAAGUGGUCCCCAUGGCUGUGUGGUGGGUCUCCUGUGUGCAGUGUCUCGGCUGUGUGUGCAGUGUCUCGGCUGUGUGUGCAGUGUCUCGGCUGUGUGUGUGUGCAGGGUUUCGGCUGUGAGUGCAGGGUCUCUCCACUGUGUGAGCAGGGUCUCAGCUGUGUAUCCACCCCACCGCACCCAGCCCCUCUGUCCUGUUUCAACAGUGAGGCUCGAAAGAUCCAGCUCUGCGAAGUGGGAGGAUGGAAGACCGCUGCACACUGUGGAGAAGAGGCUGUGCUCCUAAUAAGGGCACGUAAGAGGACGAGGGGCACAGGCCACCCUGCCUGGCCACAGAAAGGAAGAUACGAGCCAGACUCCACCAACCAGCAGGGGCUGUUUAAACCAGGAAGUUGGGUCCAGAAAUGGCAACAUCAUACUCUUUAAGAAACCAGGCCUGGGAGCCUGGGGAAGGGGACAUUCUGACUGACAGCACCUAGAUUACCACAUACCCAACCCCAAGACUCCCUGACACCACCGCCAGGGACGAAGCUUCAAGGGCACCAGGAAAUACCUGAAUAUGAGGUGUCAUUGAGGAAAGGGUUCUCAUCUGCACGGGGACACAGACAGCUGGAAAUGUGCAGAAGGGAGCUCCGAGACCACACGCCGCCAUUAACCCUGGACCGUCACUUGCUCUUCUCCUCCCUGGAGUGGCUGCUCUGCACAAAGGAAAGACGGAUGCUCGAGGUCACGCGCUCAAACCCACACCCAGUGGGGAAAUCUGCGCCAUCUCCAACGGCUGAGUUGCCCAACUGAGAGAUUUCAAGCUUUCCAAGAACUGACGUGGUUUCUGGAAGGAAACGGGCCACAUGAGCCAGGCUGGCAUCCGAAGUCCACUUGGAAUGCAGCCUACGACACAGGGUACCUGUGGCACACCGUCAUUGAAACUGUCCCAAUCGCUCAGCUCCAGGAAGGGCUGAGGAGAGAGUGACUGCUCAGUGAGAUGUGCCGAAUGAAUGAACCCCUCAUGCCCUUACAAAAGCACUUGUAAGGGCAGCUGGAAGUUCUAGCAUAGGAGAGACUGCAGCACCAACUGCUCAGAGGAACUCGUUUAAAAGGAGCCCACAGGGAUGCUUAUUUUUAGGACAAUACGUACAGGAUGAAAUGC